GACAAAAAGAAAAAAAAAAUUAUGUGUCCAAUUUUAACUGUCCGUCUUAUAUNAAUUUUUUUUAUAAUUCGUAUUUUUAUUGUUGUUAGAUGAUAAAACAUGAUUAAUAUUUUUGUAUGUAACUUGUCUUUUUAAUUUUUUUCAUAAUUUUUUCAAAUAAAACGGAUAGUCAAACGUUGGGCACGAAAACU
rnacentral:pre_miRNA from 1 species